AGUGAACGCUGGCGGUAGGCCUAACACAUGCAAGUCGAACGGCAGCACAGUAAGAGCUUGCUCUUACGGGUGGCGAGUGGCGGACGGGUGAGGAAUACAUCGGAAUCUACUUUUUCGUGGGUGAUAACGUAGGGAAACUGACGCUAAUACCUCAUACGACCUACGGGUGAAAGCAGGGGAUCUUCGGACCUUUCGCGAUUGAAUGAGCCGAUGUCGGAUUAGCUAGUUGGCGGGGUAAAGGCCCACCAAGGCGACGAUCCGUAACUGGUCUGAGAGGAUGAUCAGCCACACUGGAACUGAGACACGGUCCAGACUCCUACGGGAGGCAGCAGUGGGGAAUCUUGGACAAUGGGCGCAAGCCUGACCCAGCAAUACCGCGUGAGUGAAGAAGGCCUUCGGGUCGUAAAGCCCUUUUGUUGGGAAAGAAAAGAAGCAGGUUAAUACCCCGCUGUUCUGACGGUACCCAAAGAAUAAGCACCGGCUAACUUCGUG
rnacentral:rRNA from 1 species